UCCGUAGGCGGGCAAUUAAGUCAGAGGUGAAAUCCCACAGCUCAACUGUGGAACUGCCUUUGAUACUGGUUGUCUUGAGUUAUAGUGAAGUAGAUAGAAUAUGUAGUGUAGCGGUGAAAUGCAUAGAUAUUACAUAGAAUACCGAUUGCGAAGGCAGUCUACUAACUGUAUACUGACGCUGAUGGACGAAAGCGUGGGGAGCGAACAGGAUUAGAUACCCUGGUAGUCC
rnacentral:rRNA from 1 species